rnacentral:rRNA from 1 species
CCCUUAGAUGUUCUGGGCCGCACGCGUGCUACACUGAGUGGAUCAGCGGGUCAGGUUACGCGAGAGCGUUUCCUAAUCUUCAAAUCCGCUCGUGAUGGGGAUUGACGGUUGCAAUUUUCCGUCAUGAACGAGGAAUACCUUGUAAGCGCGGGUCAUCAUCCCGCGCUGAAUACGUCCCUGCCCUUUGUACACACCGCCCGUCGCUCCUACCGAUUGAAUGUGUUGGUGAGGAGCUCGGAUUGGCAGCAGUUGGUGGUUCGCCACCGGCUAUUGCUGAGAAGUCCUCCAAACCGCCCCAUUUAGAGGAAGGAGAAGUCGUAACA